AAGAUCGCGCUAUCUGCAGUCCACGGAUGUAUUAAGAGCUUGCUCUUAUAAAGUGGGCGGCGGAUGAGUGAUUAACACGUGUGUAACCUUCUCAUGGGAAUAGCAUAACUCCGAGGAAAGCGGAGCCUAUACCGGAUCAUAUUUUGAACUGCAUAGUUCUUAAUUCAAUGGCGGCUUCGGUUGUCCCAUAUGGAUGGACCCACGUCGCAUUAUAUAGUUUCUGAGGUACCACCUCACCAAGGUGACGAUACAUAACCAACCUGCACAGGGUGAUCGGACACACUGGGACUGAUACACCGGCCAGACUCCUACGGGAGGUAUCAACAGGGAAUCUUCCGCAAUGCACGAAAUUCUGACGGAGCAACGCCGCUUGACUGAUUAAGGCUUUCGGUCCAUAAACCCCUGUUGUUAUGAAAGAACAAGUGCUAGUUGAAUAAUCUGGAACCUUGACGGUACCUAAAACAAAAAGCCACGGCUAACUAAGUGCCAACAAGCGUGAAAACACUUAUCGGACCCGCUGUAUCCCAAAAUUAUCGUGCGUCAAAGCGAGCAACAUGGAUUUUCUAACCCCUGAAGUGAAAAUCCCCACCUUUUAGCCCCACCUAGGUUCCCUUCCAAACUUGGUAAAACUUGCGUGCAAAAAAAACGAAAGUUGGCAAUUCCAAGGCGUUCACCUUUUAAAAUCAGGAGGGAACCCCAGUGGGGAAGGGGGCCUUUUGGGUCGGUAACUGCCCAUGGAGGGGGGAAAGCGGGGGGAGCAACCAGGGUUAGAUACCGUGUUGGUCCACGCCGUAAACGAUGAGUGUAAAUGGUUGGAGGGUUUCGCCCCUUUGGUGGUGAAGUUAAGGCAUUAAUCACUCGCCUGGGGGAGUACGGCCGCAGGGUUAAAAUUCAAGGGAAUGGAGGGGGGGCCCGCACAAGCGGUGGAGCAUGUGGUUUAAUUGGAAGCAACGCGAAGACCUUUACCAGGUCUGGACAUCCUCUGAAAACUCUAGAGAUAGAGCUUCUCUUUCGGGAGCAGAGUGCCAGGUGGUGCAUGGUUGUCGUCAGCUCGUGUCGUGAGAUGUUGGGUUAAGUCCCGCAAGGAGCGCAACCCUUGAUUUUAGUUGCCAUCAGUAAGUUGGGCCCUUUAAGGUGACUGCCGGUGGCAAACCGGAGGAAGGGGGGGAUGACGUCAAAUUAUCAUGCCCCUUAUGACCUGGGCUACACACGUGCUACAAUGGAUGGUACAAAGAGGUGCACGACCGCGAGGUGGAGGUAAUUUCAUAAAACCGUUUUCAGUUCGGAUUGUCGGUUGCAACUUGCCUACAUGAAGCUGGGAUUGGUAGUAAUUGCGGAUCAGCAUUGCGGGGGGAAAACGUUUCCGGGCCUUGUACCCCCCGCCCGUCCCCCCCAGGGAAUUUGUAACCCCCGAAGUCGGUGGGGUUAACCUUAGGGAGCCAGCCGCCCAACGGUGGACACAUAUUGGGGGAAGUCUANCAUGAGCAGCUAA
rnacentral:rRNA from 1 species